rnacentral:rRNA from 1 species
AGUGGCGGACGGGUGAGUAAUGCUUGGGAACUUGCCUUUGCGAGGGGGAUAACAGUUGGAAACGACUGCUAAUACCGCAUAAUGUCUUCGGACCAAACGGGGCUUCGGCUCCGGCGCAAAGAGAGGCCCAAGUGAGAUUAGCUAGUUGGUAAGGUAAUGGCUUACCAAGGCGACGAUCUCUAGCUGUUCUGAGAGGAAGAUCAGCCACACUGGGACUGAGACACGGCCCAGAUUCCUACGGGAGGCAGCAGUGGGGAAUAUUGCACAAUGGGGGAAACCCUGAUGCAGCCAUGCCGCGUGUGUGAAGAAGGCCUUCGGGUUGUAAAGCACUUUCAGUUGUGAGGAAGAGUUAGUAGUUAAUACCUGCUAGCCGUGACGUUAACAACAGAAGAAGCACCGGCUAACUCCGUGCCAGCAGCCGCGGUAAUACGGAGGGUGCGAGCGUUAAUCGGAAUUACUGGGCGUAAAGCGCACGCAGGCGGUUUGUUAAGCUAGAUGUGAAAGCCCCGGGCUCAACCUGGGAUGGUCAUUUAGAACUGGCAGACUAGAGUCUUGGAGAGGGGAGUGGAAUUCCAGGUGUAGCGGUGAAAUGCGUAGAUAUCUGGAGGAACAUCAGUGGCGAAGGCGACUCCCUGGCCAAAGACUGACGCUCAUGUGCGAAAGUGUGGGUAGCGAACAGGAUUAGAUACCCUGGUAGUCCACACCGUAAACGCUGUCUACUAGCUGUGUGUGUCUUUAAGACGUGCGUAGCGAAGCUAACGCGCUAAGUAGACCGCCUGGGGAGUACGGCCGCAAGGUUAAAGCUCAAAUGAAUUGACGGGGGCCCGCACAAGCGGUGGAGCAUGUGGUUUAAUUCGAUGCAACGCGAAGAACCUUACCUACACUUGACAUGCUGAGAAGUUACUAGAGAUAGUUUCGUGCCUUCGGGAACUCAGACACAGGUGCUGCAUGGCUGUCGUCAGCUCGUGUCGUGAGAUGUUGGGUUAAGUCCCGCAACGAGCGCAACCCUUGUCCUUAGUUGCCAGCCUUAAGUUGGGCACUCUAAGGAGACUGCCGGUGACAAACCGGAGGAAGGUGGGGACGGCGUCAAGUCAUCAUGGCCCUUACGUGUAGGGCUACACACGUGCUACAAUGGCAUUUACAGAGGGAGGCGAGACAGUGAUGUGGAGCGGACCCCUUAAAGAAUGUCGUAGUCCGGAUUGGAGUCUGCAACUCGACUCCAUGAAGUCGGAAUCGCUAGUAAUCGCAGGUCAGAAUACUGCGGUGAAUACGUUCCCGGGCCUUGUACUCACCGCCCGUCA